AACCAAUGGUGAGGGCACCUUCUUAAUAAGUCCUUGUACCUCUCCUAUGCAUCAUAAAGAGUUUCUAGAUCCAUUUACACAAAACAAGAGAUAUCAUUCCUUAAUUU
rfam:Gossypium hirsutum cultivar TM-1 chromosome 12, whole genome shotgun sequence